rnacentral:rRNA from 1 species
GUGCCUACGGGGGGCAGCAGUGAGGAAUAUUGGUCAAUGGCCGAGAGGCUGAACCAGCCAAGUCGCGUGAGGGAAGACGGCCCUACGGGUUGUAAACCUCUUUUGUCGGGGAGCAAAGAGAGUCACGUGUGACUCAUUGAGAGUACCCGAAGAAAAAGCAUCGGCUAACUCCGUGCCAGCAGCCGCGGUAAUACGGAGGAUGCGAGCGUUAUCCGGAUUUAUUGGGUUUAAAGGGUGCGCAGGCGGAGGUGCAAGUCAGCGGUCAAAUUGCGGGGCUCAAACCCGUACUGCCGUUGAAACUGCAU